CAGUAGCCGCGGUAAUACGUAGGGUGCAAGCGUUAAUCGGAAUUACUGGGCGUAAAGCGUGCGCAGGCGGUUCGCUAAGACAGAUGUGAAAUCCCCGGGCUUAACCUGGGAACUGCAUUUGUGACUGGCGGGCUAGAGUAUGGCAGAGGGGGGUAGAAUUCCACGUGUAGCAGUGAAAUGCGUAGAUAUGCGGAGGAACACCGAUGGCGAAGGCAGCCCCCUGGGCCAACACUGACGCUCAUGCACGAAAGCGUGGGGAGCAAACAGGAUUAGAUACCCGAGUAGUCCCUGUCUCUUAUAC
rnacentral:rRNA from 1 species